CCCUUAGAUGUCCUGGGCUGCACGCGCGCUACACUGAUGUGUCCAGUAAGCACCUAACCUCUUCCGAAAGGAACGGGUAACCUUUGCAAAGCACAUCGUGAUGGGGAUAGAUUAUUGCAAUUAUUAGUCUUGAACGAGGAAUUCCUAGUAAGCAAAAGUCAUCAGCUUGUGUUGAUUACGUCCCUGCCCUUUGUACACACCGCCCGUCGCUCCUACCGAUUGAAUGUUCCGGUGAGCUCUUCGGACUGCGCGGUCUGCAGUUUCUGCGUUCCGUGCGGAAAGUUGCGCAAACCUUAACAUUUAGAGGAAGGAGAAGUCGUAACA
rnacentral:rRNA from 1 species